UACGUAGGGACCGAGCGUUGUCCGGAUUUAUUGGGCGUAAAGAGCGCGUAGGCGGCUAUCCACGUCGGAUGUGAAAGCUCAGGGCUCAACCCUGAGAGGCCAUUCGAUACGGGAUAGCUAGAGGCAGCUAGGGGAAAGUGGAAUUCCUGGUGUAGCGGUGAAAUGCGCAGAUAUCAGGAGGAACACCGGUGGCGAAGGCGGCAUCCUGGACCGACACUGACGCUGAGGCGCGAAAGCUAGGGUAGCAAACGGG
rnacentral:rRNA from 1 species